GAUGAACGCUGGCGGCGUGCCUAAUACAUGCAAGUCGAGCGAACGGACGAGAAGCUUGCUUCUCUGAUGUUAGCGGCGGACGGGUGAGUAACACGUGGAUAACCUACCUAUAAGACUGGGAUAACUUCGGGAAACCGGAGCCAAUACCGGAUAAUAUUUUGAACCGCAUGGUUCAAAAGUGAAAGACGGUCUUGCUGUCACUUAUAGAUGGAUCCGCGCUGCAUUAGCUAGUUGGUAAGGUAACGGCUUACCAAGGCAACGAUGCAUAGCCGACCUGAGAGGGUGAUCGGCCACACUGGAACUGAGACACGGUCCAGACUCCUACGGGAGGCAGCAGUAGGGAAUCUUCCGCAAUGGGCGAAAGCCUGACGGAGCAACGCCGCGUGAGUGAUGAAGGUCUUCGGAUCGUAAAACUCUGUUAUUAGGGAAGAACAUAUGUGUAAGUAACUGUGCACAUCUCGACGGUACCUAAUCAGAAAGCCACGGCUAACUACGUG
rnacentral:rRNA from 1 species